rnacentral:rRNA from 1 species
UUUAAGUAUAUGAGGUGAUUAAUUGGAGGGCAAAUCAAGUGCCAGCAGCCGCGGUAAUACUUGUUCCAAGAGUGUGUAUGAUGAUUGAUGCAGUUAAAAAGUCCGUAGUUUAUUUUUUAAAACAAAGGGAGAAUUGGGAAAAAAGAAUGGACACCCAA